UCCAUGAUGAAUUUCACGGCGUUGAUCGUCCGAAGUGAUGAUGCAUCCUUGUCCUCUAAGAAGUUCUGAGAUC
rnacentral:snoRNA from 13 species